UACGAAGGGGGCUAGCGUUGCUCGGAAUCACUGGGCGUAAAGGGUGCGUAGGCGGGUCUUUAAGUCAGGGGUGAAAUCCUGGAGCUCAACUCCAGAACUGCCUUUGAUACUGAAGAUCUUGAGUUCGGGAGAGGUGAGUGGAACUGCGAGUGUAGAGGUGAAAUUCGUAGAUAUUCGGAGGAACACCAGUGGCGAAGGCGGCUCACUGGCUCGGUACUGACGCUGAGGUGCGAAAGCGUGGGGAGCGAACAGG
rnacentral:rRNA from 1 species